AUGACCGGCUUUGAGGGUCUAGGCUGCAGGUGCUCUUACCUGGCGUUCCGUGGCGCUGCGCUGGUGGGCUAUUUAAGCGCUCCCUUCUCAGUCGUUCCCCCUUUUGGCUCACACGCUCUUCCGGGCCUCUCCUUGUGGCCGCUCUGUCCUCCCGCUCAGUGCCGCUGCUUGGCCACUGCUUGGCCGGUGCUCUGCACCGCAUCAGUCCCUCGCUCCUCCGAGUCGCGGAGCACCUAGGGCGCGCUUUCAUCUCCUCUGACCAAGCUCCACGGGUAAGACGAGUGAAUCCCUCCCCAUUGCGCUUGGCUGUGCGCCGCCGUGUCCCGUAAACCGCGGCGGCAGGUAACCAAAACCCUAUUCCCACGUGCUACCUGUGCCAAACAAUUCUCAAAAUUGUCUGUUUAUAGCGUGUGCCGGUCCACAUUGUUGGACCACGUCUGGACGCAGAUAUUCUAUGUAGAGUUGCCUUCAAUUCAGCCUGGGGAUUGCGCACUGUCACACUCAACCACGGUAUGUUCGGCCCAGAUCCUUACGCUGCAGGCUCUGAGUUUAAUCCCAAAAUUUAACUUUUCAGGUGUCGGCGGGGGCCUGCAGCGGCGUGAGGAC